rnacentral:snRNA from 1 species
AGCUUUGAGCAGUGGCAGUAUCGUAGCCAAUGAGGUUUAUCCGAGGCAUGAUUAUUGCUAAUUAAAUUUAUUUAGAAAUCUCUUCUGUGAUAUAUCUUAUUAUAUUGUAUAUCUUACAUUUUGAGUAAAA